rnacentral:rRNA from 1 species
GGGUUGUGAGGUUAAGCGACUAAGCGUACACGGUGGAUGCCCUGGCAGUCAGAGGCGAUGAAGGGCGUGCUAAUCUGCGAUAAGCGCCGGUAAGGUGAUAUGAACCGUUAUAACCGGCGAUACCCGAAUGGGGAAACCCAGUGUGAUUCGUCACACUAUCAUUAACUGAAUCCAUAGGUUAAUGAGGCGAACCGGGGGAACUGAAACAUCUAAGUACCCCGAGGAAAAGAAAUCAACCGAGAUUCCCCCAGUAGCGGCGAGCGAACGGGGAGGAGCCCAGAGCCUGAAUCAGCAUGUGUGUUAGUGGAAGCGUCUGGAAAGGCGCGCGAUACAGGGUGACAGCCCCGUACACAAAAGCGCAUGUGCUGUGAGCUCGAUGAGUAGGGCGGGACACGUGGUAUCCUGUCUGAAUAUGGGGGGACCAUCCUCCAAGGCUAAAUACUCCUGACUGACCGAUAGUGAACCAGUACCGUGAGGGAAAGGCGAAAAGAACCCCGGCGAGGGGAGUGAAAAAGAACCUGAAACCGUGUACGUACAAGCAGUGGGAGCACAGGUUUACCUGUGUGACUGCGUACCUUUUGUAUAAUGGGUCAGCGACUUAUAUUCUGUAGCAAGGUUAACCGUAUAGGGGAGCCGAAGGGAAACCGAGUCUUAACCGGGCGUUAAGUUGCAGGGUAUAGACCCGAAACCCGGUGAUCUAGCCAUGGGCAGGUUGAAGGUUGGGUAACACUAACUGGAGGACCGAACCGACUAAUGUUGAAAAAUUAGCGGAUGACCUGUGGCUGGGGG